CCUACGGGUGGCUGCAGUAGGGAAUCUUCCACAAUGGGCGAAAGCCUGAUGGAGCAACGCCGCGUGGGUGAAGAAGGUCUUCGGAGCGUAAAACCCUGUUGUUAGAGAAGAAAGUGCGGGAGAGUAACUGUUCACGUGUCGACGGUAUCUAACCAGAAAGCCACGGCUAACGACGUGCCAGCAGCCGCGGUAAUACGUAGGUGGCAAGCGUUAUCCGGAUUUAUGGGGCGUAAAGGGAACGCAGGCGGUCUUUUAAGUCGGAUGUGAAAGCCUUCGGCUUAACCGGAGUAGUGCCUUGGAACCUUGGAGACUUGAGUGCAGCAGAGUAGAGUGGCACUCCCUGUGUAGC
rnacentral:rRNA from 1 species